rnacentral:rRNA from 1 species
CAGUCGCCACGGUAAUACAGAGGGUGCAAGCGUUAAUCGGAUUUACUGGGCGUAAAGCGUGUGUAGGUGGCUGUUCAAGUCGGUUGUGAAAGCCCUGGGCUCAACCUGGGAAUUGCUUCCGAGACUGAGCGGCUAGAGUACGGUAGAGGGCGGUGGAAUUUCCGGUGUAGCGGUGAAAUGCGUAGAUAUCGGAAGGAACACCAAUGGCGAAGGCAGCCGCCUGGGCCUGUACUGACACUGAGACACGAAAGCGUGGGGAUCAAACAGGAUUAGACCCCAGUAGUCCCUGUCUCUUAUACAC